AUGGUGACACUCGCUGAGCUGCUGGUGCUCCUGGCCGCCCUCCUGGCCACGGCCUUGGGCUACUUCGUCAGCAUUGACACGCAUGCAGAGGAAUGCUUCCUCAAGCGGGUUGCCUCGGGCACUAAGAUGGGUCUCAUCUUUGAGGUGGCCAAGGGCGGCUUCCUGAACAUCGACGUGGAGAUUACAGAGCCUGAUAAUAAAGUAAUUUAUAAAGGAGACAGGGAGUCCAGUGGGAAAUACACAUUUGCUGCUUACAUGGACGGAACAUACAAGUUUUCUUUUAGCAAUAGGAUGGCCACCAUGACUCCCAAAGAUAGUGAUGUUCACCACUGAUAUUGGGGAAGACCCCAAAGGACAAGACAUGGAAACAGUAGCUCACAAGAACAAGCUAGAAGAAAUGAUUAAUGAGCUGGCAGUGGAGAUGACACUGUGAAGCAUGAACAGGAAUCCAUGGAAGUUGGAGAGAGAAUACACAGAGCAAUCAAUGACAACACAAGCUACAGAGUGGUCCUUUGGUCCUUCUUUGAAGUUCUUGUUCUAGUUACCACGACAUUGGGACACAUCUGCUACCUGAAAAGAGUCUUUGAAGUCUGGAGGGUUGUUUAA
rnacentral:lncRNA from 1 species